UUCAACCAUCUUCAUGUUUAGAUCUUGUUCUUCACUUUGCAGUCUCAUAGACUUUGCAAAUAGCCACCUUCUUUUCUCUCCUCUGUUUCUUCUACUUAGUACUUUUUGUUUUGGACGUUGCUGAAAAUAAGAGUUCUGCGGAUCCGAUGAUCUUCACCGCUAGUGAUGAAAAUCGGAUGAGACGGGUUUUGGUUGUGAUGUAAGCUGGUCAAGCGAGAUAUUAGUGCGGUUCAAUCAAAUAGUCGCACUCUUAGUAGAUAGAGAUUGAUUUUGUUCGAUUGAGCCGCGCCAAUAUCACGCAUAUAACCAAGAUGGUUAUUAACCUCAAAAGUAUAUUGUCAAUCAUCUUAAAGAGUGAUAGAGCUCAAGGUACUCAAGUGCAGGACGAUUCCAUGACCAGCCUUGCUUCAUCAGUGAUUUAAACCACUCUCUAUACCAAAGCCAAUAUCGCCCUGCAAGAAGAAGAAAAACAAGUCACACCGGUUAAAGUAAUGCUCCAAUCAACGAGAGUAUAAUUAUCCUUACACCUGCUGAGUACUAAUUACUGAAACGCUAAUACUGUAGGCUUUGUAGCACACCAAACUUGUAGACGUGCAUGGAGUCAUAUAGAAUAUAUUUAAAGAAUAUACUUUUGUUUGUGUGUUUAGCAUAGUCUUAAGAUAUUGAGUCUAAGUCCAUUUUGG